UCCUGUAUCGAAAGUGAUCAUGGCGUGCUUGUGGCCAGGUCAUUGAUAGUACAGGAAGAAUAACGUGAGAGCCUUUCCCGUGUUUGUUGGAGCUUGCGUUCCUCUCAGACCCUGAUGCUCUCUCACA
rnacentral:snoRNA from 13 species